rnacentral:rRNA from 1 species
GUGUCGGUCUUGCGUUGUAAAUUGAUGAGGUACUGUCGGAGUGUUGGACCUUUCGGUUAAAGUCUCUUGGAAUAGAGCAUCAGAGAGGGUGAAAAUCCCGUGAUUGACCGGAUGACAUACCAGUUCAAUGCAUACUAACCGAUAAUGCCUCUUAGAGUCGGAAUGUUUGGGAUUGCAUUCCAAAGUGGGUGGUAGACUCCAUCUAAGGCUAAAUACUGGCGAGAGACCGAUAGCGAACAAGUACCGUGAGGGAAAGUUGAAAAGCACUCUGAAGAGAGAGUCAAACAGUACGUGAAAUUGCUAGCAGGGAAACGUUGGACAUCAGUACACGGCGUUUAAUCGUCUAUGCUCAGUCGGAGGUGGAUGGAUGAUGGUUUGGGGUUGUUUUCGCACUUGAGGAUCGUUCCAUUGGGAUGACCUACCCAGGCUAUCUAUCCGUUCGCACCGAUGCACUCAUAGGCAGCCGGGUCAACAUCGGUUUACUUUGACGUUUGAAAAGCCGUUUGGACACAGGUGACAUUCGGCCAGGCUUUUGUCUGGUUACGUGAACUUAUAGGUCCGGAUGUGCGAGAAUGUUAUAGACCGAGGAGAUUUUGCGAUUCGUGCGCUUCGGUGCAGGGCGUAUUGGAUCGGUCAAGGUUGCUCGUGGUAUUGAACAGCUUGCUGAUCAACUAUCAUUUUACCGACAUUUUUGUGGGUAGUAGUGAUCGCCGCUUCUAAUAC